ensembl:lncRNA
CUCAUCUGGUGUUACUAUAUUUAUUAUUAACAACAAAUCUUAUGAAAAGCUUGAUAAAAACACACCUACACACCAUCUGGCUGUUGUAAACCACCAGAGCAACAAAUAUUUGCUGAAAAUAGUCACUCCUUAGAAAAUUCUUUUUAAAAACGCAAGCUAAAUAAAUGUGAGUAUUUGAGUUCAGUCAGUGGCUCUUCUGGAGUUCAUGGAGCUGCUCAAGUGGUUAAAAUCUUGAAGAACAUUCAUGUUGUAAAGAUAAGGAUAAACGUUAUUGAUCCCACAGUGGGGAAAAUUCAUAAAAUCUACAGAAUGAGUUACUAAGUAGAUCCUGUGUGUGAACCAAGGUCAAGGUUGAAGAUGAGCCUUGAGGUCUUUUCAUGGGAUUUGUUGUCAAAAUAAAAAGUAGCACCAUCUUUAUGCUUUAAGUUAGGGCUGGUGAAACAGCUAAACAGUCAAUAAUAUUUCAUAAAAAAUAAUGUCUAUAUAUUAUAAAGAUACAUAAAUCACGGUAUUAGAAAUGAUCACAUUCAUGUCCACUAAAAUGUUAUCUUUCAACAGUUUUGUUUUGGGUUAUAAUAAAAUUUAUAAUACUGAAUUGUCAUCCAGCUCUGCCUCAAAAACACAUUAAGUCUAUAUUUAUAAGUAUAUAUGUAAGUAUAUCAACAAAUUAUCCUGUAACUGUUAGCAGAAUUGGCUGCAUUUGUCUUCUCAGAUUGGUCCAGAGCAGGCAGUGUUAGCCAAUCAUCUUUGUCCAUUUAUGCCUCCUUCAACAAGUCCAGGUCGUGAUGCAGCGCCCCCUGCUGGACAGCAACAGGCACUUAGCCCCAGGAGCUGAAAUAAGAGAGAGCAAAUAUGAAUAUUUUAUUUUUGGUUUAUCAAGGUAAUAAUUUAUUUUUUUAUCGUAUCUUUACCCAUGUGUGCGGGUAAAUGUUUUGUCUUUUACAUGUCUCCCCCUGAUUGUAUAAAAUGUAAAGAAAUGAAGAGACACUGUGUGUGAAACGUCAGGAGCUUAUUAAACAGUAUUACUGAGCCCAACACUGGUAGCCUGCAGUGGAGCUGCUGCUCUGGUGGGAAGCUCUGUUGAACGUGUGUGUGUGUGUGUGUGUGUGUGUGUGUGUGUGUGUGUGUGUGUGUGUGUGUGUGUGUGUGUGUGUGUGUGUGUGUGUGUGUGUGUGUGUGUGUGUGUGUGUGUGUGUGUGUGUGUGUGUGUGUGUGUGUGUGUGUUAGAAGAGACGUCAUCUUUAGUCUUUGGUUUGUUUCACUUCACAUUUAAAGAGUCAGUAAAGAACUGCACGCACAUUUACGUCAUCCCUGUUUUGAACACCACGUCAAACAUCCUUGUAACGGUCGUCACCGAGUCCCCAGCAGCGAUGGUCCACGUGUCUUCUCAGUAUCAUGAUUCUUCAUCAUGGAUAUUAGCCUUUGGUGAUUGAUUGGACUUAUUUAGCAGCAUUUUCUGCAUUUGACAUCAUCCUGACUGUUUGUUAGAACAGUGGAAGUAAGUGAGAUUAAAUCUUUCCAGAAG